GCCCUGUGAAGGUGAGCAAAUCCCAAAAAGUGCGUCCCAGUUCGGAUUGUAGACUGCAACCCGUCUGCAUGAAGCUGGAAUCGCUAGUAAUCGCGGAUCAGAAUGCCGCGGUGAAUACGUUCCCGGGUCUUGUACACACCGCCCGUCACACCAUGGGAGUUGGAAAUGCCCGAAGUCAGUGGCCCAACCGUAAGGAGGGAGCUGCCGAAGGCAGGUCCGGUAACCGGGGUGAAGUCGUAACAAGGUACC
rnacentral:rRNA from 1 species